rnacentral:lncRNA from 1 species
CCCUUCCUCCACCUGUGAGUUUUCUGAGAGUGUCUCACAACUAAAACUUCUUCUCCUACUUUUCAUCUUUGAAAGAGUUCAAAUCAAGAAGGAGGCAUCUGAUUGACCAUCGAAGAAGAAUCAGCACAGUACUAGCAUACUAUACUGAUUUUCUGGAUCAGAACUUCUGAUCAUGAUUCGUGGGCUCAUGUGGAUGACUCCUAGAGGUCGGAUGUAUGUGCGGCUUAUAAUAUCAUC